GUGCCAGCAGCCGCGGUAAUACGGAGGGUGCGAGCGUUGUCCGGAAUCACUGGGCGUAAAGCAGGUGCAGGCGGCCUGUUGUGUCGGGUGUGAAAUCCCGUGGCUCAACCACGGAACUGCGCCCGAAACUGAUGGGCUUGAGUGCGAGAGGGGAUGGUGGAAUUCUCGGUGUAGAGGUGAAAUUCGUAGAUAUCGAGAGGAAUACCGGUGGCGAAGGCGACCAUCUGGCUCGUUUCUGACGCUCAGACCUGAAAGCGUGGGUAGCAAACAGAAUUAGAUACUCUGGUAGUCCACGCAGUAAACGAUGGAUACUAGGUGUUGGGGGUGUCGAUUCCCUCAGUGCCGAAGUUAACGCAUUAAGUAUCCCGCCUGGGAAGUACGGCCGCAAGGCUAAAACUCAAAUAAAUUGACGG
rnacentral:rRNA from 1 species